rnacentral:rRNA from 1 species
UACGGGGGGAGCAAGCGUUGUUCGGAUUUACUGGGCGUAAAGGGCGCGUAGGCGGCCUCUGCAAGUCGACUGUGAAAUCUCCGGGCUUAACCCGGAAAGGUCAGCCGAUACUGCAGGGCUGGAGUGCAGAAGGGGCAACUGGAAUUCUCGGUGUAGCGGUGAAAUGCGUAGAUAUCGAGAGGAACACCUGCGGCGAAGGCGGGUUGCUGGGCUGACACUGACGCUGAAGUGCGAAAGCUAGGGGAGCGAACGGG